rnacentral:rRNA from 1 species
UACAGGGGGUGCAAGCGUUGUUCGGAAUUACUGGGCGUAAAGCGCGGGCAGGUGGCCUUUUAAGUCCUUUGUGAAAUCCCGGAGCUCAACUCCGGAUGUGCAUAGGAUACUGGAAGGCUUGGGACUGGUAGAGGCGAGCGGAAUUCCGGGUGUAGCGGUGGAAUGCGUAGAGAUCCGGAAGAACACCAGUGGCGAAGGCGGCCUGCUGGGCAGUUGCUGACGCUGAGGCGCGACAGCGUGGGGAGCAAACAGG